rnacentral:rRNA from 1 species
UUAGUUUACUAAAGGGAUUCUUAGUGGCGGACGGGUUAGUAACACGUGAGCAACUUACCUCAAAGUGGGGGAUAGCCUUCCGAAAGGGAGAUUAAUACCGCAUGUGACCCCUGUUAAAGGGUGGUCAAAGGGUGCUUCGGCACUCGCUUUGAGAUAGGCUCGCGUCCUAUCAGUUAGUUGGUGAGGUAAUGGCUCACCAAGACUACGACGGGUAGCUGUUCUGAGAGGAAGAUCAGCAACACUGGAACUGAGACACGGUCCAGACACCUACGGGUGGCAGCAGUCGAGAAUCAUUCACAAUGGACGCAAGUCUGAUGGUGCAACGCCGCGUGGAGGAUGAAGGCCCUAGGGUCGUAAACUCCUGUCAUAGCAGAGUAAGGCAUAUUAGUUAAUAGCUAGUAUGUUUGAUAGUAUGCUAAGAGGAAGGGACGGCUAACUUCGUGCCAGCAGCCGCGGUAAUACGAAGGUCCCGAGCGUUAUUCGGAAUCACUGGGCGUAAAGGGGGCGUAGGCUGCGUGGUAAGUCAGAUGUGAAAUCUCAGAGCUCAACUCUGAAACUGCAUUCGAUACUGCCAUGCUAGAGUAAUGGAGAGGUAACUGGAAUUCUCGGUGUAGCAGUGAAAUGCGUAGAUAUCGAGAGGAAGACCAAUGGCGAAAGCAGGUUACUGGACAUUUACUGACGCUGAGGCUCGAAGGCUAGGGUAGCGAAAGGGAUUAGAUACCCCUGUAGUCCUAGCAGUAAACGAUGUGCGCUUGGUGUGGGAGGGUUCGACCCCUUCCGUGCCGGAGCUAACGCGUUAAGCGCACCGCCUGGGGAGUACGGUCGCAAGACUAAAACUCAAAGAAAUUGACGGGGACCCGCACAAGCGGUGGAGUAUGUGGCUUAAUUCGAUGC